UACGUAGGGACCGAGCGUUGUCCGGAUUCAUUGGGCGUAAAGAGCUCGUAGGCGGCUGCUCAAGUCGAAUGUGAAAACUCGAGGCUCAACCUCGAGCCUGCAUUCGAUACUGGGCGGCUAGAGUCUGGUAGGGGGAUCUGGAAUUCCUGGUGUAGCGGUGGAAUGCGCAGAUAUCAGGAAGAACACCAAUGGCGAAAGCAGCUCUCUGGGACGGUACUGACGCUGAGACGCGAAAGCGUGGGGAGCGAACAGG
rnacentral:rRNA from 1 species